AAUGAACGCUGGCGGCAGGCCUAACACAUGCAAGUCGAGCGGAAGAAGGGUGCUUUCGUCUGGAGUUAGCGUGGGACGGGGGUGUGAUACCCAUGAAUCUCCUUGGCUUUGGGGGGGAACGACCGGAAAAGGGCGGUAAUACCGCAUACGACCUGCUGGUGAAAGAUGGGGGGGGUCGGACCUCACGCGAGCAGGUGGACCUAGGUCGGAUUAGCUAGUUGGUGGGGUAAAGGCCUACCAAGGCGACGAUCCGUAACUGGUCUGAGAGGAUGAUCAGUCACACUGGAACUGAGACACGGUCCAGACUCCUACGGGAGGCAGCAGUGGGGAAUAUUGGACAAAGGGCGAAAGCCUGAUCCAGCCAUGCCGCGUGUGUGAAGAAGGUCUUCGGAUUGUAAAGCACUUUAAGUUGGGAGGAAGGGCAGUAAGUUAAUACCUUGCUGUUUUGACGUUACCAACAGAAUAAGCACCGGCUAACUUCGUG
rnacentral:rRNA from 1 species